rnacentral:rRNA from 1 species
AGAGUUUGAUCCUGGCUCAGGAUGAACGCUAGCGGGAGGCUUAACACAUGCAAGUCGAGCGGUAGAGGUAGCAAUACCUUGAGAGCGGCGCACGGGUGAGUAACGCGUAUGCAACCUACCUUAUACAGGGGGAUAGCCCAGAGAAAUUUGGAUUAAUACCCCAUGGCACUAUUUUAUCGCAUGGUAAAAUAGUUAAAGAUUUAUCGGUAAAAGAUGGGCAUGCGUGACAUUAGUUUGUUGGUGAGGUAACGGCUCACCAAGACUACGAUGUCUAGGGGUUCUGAGAGGAUGAUCCCCCACACUGGUACUGAGACACGGACCAGACUCCUACGGGAGGCAGCAGUGAGGAAUAUUGGUCAAUGGGCGCAAGCCUGAACCAGCCAUCCCGCGUGAAGGACGACUGCCCUAUGGGUUGUAAACUUCUUUUAUGUGCCAAGAAUGUGAGCUACGUGUAGCUUUUUGACGGUAGCACAUGAAUAAGCAUCGGCUAACUCCGUGCCAGCAGCCGCGGUAAUACGGAGGAUGCAAGCGUUAUCCGGAUUUAUUAGGUUUAAAGGGUGUGUAGGCGGAGCAGUAAGUCAGUGGUGAACUCCUGCAGCCUAACUGUAGAACUGCCAUUGAUACUGUUGGACUUGAAUCUAGUUGAGGUAGGCGGAAUGUGUUGUGUAGCGGUGAAAUGCUUAGAUAUAACACAGAACACCGAUUGCGAAGGCAGCUUACUAGACUAUUAUUGACGCUGAGGUACGAAAGCGUGGGGAGCGAACAGGAUUAGAUACCCUGGUAGUCGUCCACGCUGUAAACGAUGUUCACUCGCUGUAUGCGAUACACAGUAUGCGGCCAAGCGAAAGCAUUAAGUGAACCACCUGGGGAGUACGUCGGCAACGGUGAAACUCAAAGGAAUUGACGGGGGCCCGCACAAGCGGAGGAACAUGUGGUUUAAUUCGAUCAUACGCGAGGAACCUUACCUGGGCUUAAAUGUAGAUUGCAUGCUGUGGAAACACACUUUCCUUCGGGACUAUCUACAAGGUGCUGCAUGGUUGUCGUCAGCUCGUGCCGUGAGGUGUCGGGUUAAGUCCCAUAACGAGCGCAACCCCUAUCGUUAGUUGCCAGCGGGUCAUGCCGGGGACUCUAACGGGACUGCCACCGUAAGGUGAGAGGAAGGUGGGGAUGACGUCAAAUCAGCACGGCCCUUAUGUCCAGGGCUACACACGUGUUACAAUGGCCGAUACAAAGGGCAGCUACCAGGUGACUGGAUGCUAAUCUCUAAAGUCGGUCUCAGUUCGGAUCGAAGUCUGCAACCCGACUUCGUGAAGCUGGAUUCGCUAGUAAUCGCAUAUCAGCCAUGAUGCGGUGAAUACGUUCCCGGGCCUUGUACACACCGCCCGUCAAACCAUGGAAGCUGGGGGGACCUGAAGUCUGUCACCGAAAGGAGCGGCCUAGGGUAAAACUGGUAACUGGAGCUAAGUCGUAACAAGGUAACC